CAAUAGGCAUAAACUGGACACAGGAGGAACAUAGGAGUCUUUGUCAGAGCAUCAGGAAACACUUCUUCACUGGUUGACCACAGGUCGUCCAAACAGAAUAGUUGAGAUAGAGGGGACUUACAAAAACCAUUGAGUAAAACUAGCAGGCCAUUUCAACUGCCUGACCAGCUCAGGGCUAACAAAAAGUUAAAGCACAUUAUUAAAGACACCAUCUUGAACAUCAGCAGGCACAGAGGUGCCUUUCUUGGAGACAGUCAUAAGCUGCCUGGAUAUGAUCCUUGGCAGCCUGCUCAGAGUGUCCCUUCUUGAGCUUGGGGUUUACCAGUUGAUCCCAAUCCUCAGCCAUUCUGUGAUUCUGUGUUAUGAUACUACUAAGUUUUGCUCUUUGCUAUCCUGUUGCUCUUGCAGACUACAAGGUAACAAAUGAAAUUAAUCUGUUUUUCAGGACAUGGCAUAGGUUUAUUCAUUUCCAGCUAUACGAAGUUCUGUUGAUGUGUAUGUUAAAGUAAAGACAAAACUACAACCGAACUUAUCCUGGCCUAUGAUUGCCUAUUUUCCUACUUUAUUGUUCUUCUCCACUGCUGUGAGUGCAAAGCUUGACUGCUUCUGGUUCUGGGACACCUUGUCUCUCAAAUCUAAAUGUACCCUGAAACAAAUGGUAGCAAAAGUGGAGGGGACUCAUCCAAUGGAAGCAAUAAGAAGGAGGAUUGUUGGAGUAUACUAAUUGGCCACAGGAUACCUAUGCCUUGGCCGUGUGUCGCAGCCUGGAAAAGGCAAACUGAUCUGCACUGUGGAGCCUAGGAGAUGUAUGUAAAAAAGAAUAUAUGAAUUGGCCUUUAAAACAUUUGAGGUGGAAAUUAAAAGGCCGUAUCUGUCCCGGUAAGGAAAUUAAUGAAAUUGCUUCCUAAGGCAAUUUAGAGAAAAGAACACUAACAAAAGAAAAUGGAGUAUAGCUGCAUGAUUAUCAAGUUUACAGCAGCUGGCGGUGGGAUUUAAAGAUCUGGCAGCUUCUCUCACGUCCUCUGUUAUUACACUUACAGCAGUUCUUUUGAGAAUCUUGCAGUUCCUGGGAAAAUAUUCUUAUUGGUGAUUUGUUAUCUUGUAUGCUUCUGUGUACUUAGACCUGAUUUUUCUGUCCUCUAAGAAGCUCAUCAGUUCUUGAAUACAUGUAUGAAGAAAAAAAAUUCUUAAGGUUGUAAAAGUUUAUUUUAUAUCCUUCAGAAAGUAUAUAAAAGAUGUUUUUCUUGUUUUGUUGUUUGUUUUCUUGUUUUGUUGGUUCAUUUUCCAGUGCUGAGCUCUUUCCAAAAUGCUGAGCAUUUCUGCACAAAACUUUGAUUUGAUCAAGUUUAAGCUUUCAUGAGAUUCCAGGGCCAUCUGCUAUAUUACCACUGUCUAAAUUAAAUAUUUCCAAGUAUACUCUUUUAUUAUUUAUUGCUGUGUAUUGUAGUUUAUUAGAGUAGCCUGACAUUCACUCCCUUUCUAGAAUUGUCAAUUUCACCUUUUUCAGUUGGAAUCAGUAGGAAAUAAAAGGUUCUUUCACUCAUCA
rnacentral:lncRNA from 1 species